GAGCUGAAAGCAGGUCGCGAGCUGAAAGCUGUGAGGGACAAGCUGGGGGAUGGGCGGAGUUAGCGGAUUCCUCUUAAGUAGGACGGCCGACGAGAACUACUACUGACGGUGAAGCCCAGCUUAAUUUCUUUACCAGAGGGUUGCUUUCUGUCUCUUUUCACCCCAUACUAGGAAAUUGAAGUUGAAGAAAGUUUUUCUGUCAAAACUUCCAGGCCUGUACCUGUUCCGAGGAGCAGCCGGAUCUGUGAUGGAAGCCUUUUUAAAAAAUAGUUCAGUCAGCGAUGCUAGCUCAAAAAGCUGCCUCUGGAACGUACGGCAGCACGAAAUUUCUCCCUCAAGGAAACCAGCAGACCUAGUUGUCCGUGAAACCAUUGUCUCCCAAGGUUCCAAUUAGGAUGUGCCACGAUGCCAUCUAAUUUUCCUGAUCAACUCAUGCUCUAAUAAUCAAUGUGAAGAAAAGAGAGAAAACAUGUGAAUCUAAGCUCCUUGCCGGCCAGCCGGGCUUCAUCGAGCUCCCGCUCAGUAGAGGCCAGCUCUCUAGACAGUGCCCCUGGCACACUCUGCUCCCGGCUCACCCAGUCCAAUGCCAUUUGGUGGCGAAUAUCAUCAUCCAGGGCCCGGUGUGAAUAAUGAGCCAACACUUCCUGGAGGAGGAGAGGAAUGUGAAGGUCACUGACAAGCUAAACUUAAGAAUUCUGGAUAUUCUGGAAUAUAUUCACGAGCACCAGUAUGUACACGGAGAGGGAUAUCAAGGCCUCAGUAAGAUUUGAGGAACCUCAGAAGGAGGUUCCUUCUGAGCCACAAGAAUCCUGACCAGGUGUACUUGGUAGAUUAUGGCCUUGCUUAUCGGUAUUACCCAGAAGGAAUUCACAAAGAAUACAAAGAAGACCCCAAAAGAUGUCACAGUGGCACUAUUGAAUUCACGAGCGUCAAUGCACACCGUGGUGUGGGCCCGUUGAGACUUGGUGACUUGGAAAUACUAUGAUAAAUGAUCCAGUGGCUCAGUGGGCAUCUUCCUUGGGAGGAUAAUUUGAAAGAUCCUAACUAUGUUAGAGAUUCCAAAAUUAGAUACAGAGAAAAUAUUUCAGGUUUGAUGGACAGAUGUUUUCCUGAGAAAAACAAGUCAGAUGAAAUAGCUAAAUACAUGGAAACAGCGAAAUUACUGGACUGUGCCGAAAACCCUCUUUCUCAGAAUUUACAAGAUAUUCUUUUGCAAGGACCCAAAGCUAUAAAGGAAGUAAGGAUGAUGGUAAACUGGACUUCAGUGUUGUGGAGAAUGGAGGUUUGAAAGCCAAAACUAUAACAAAGAAGAGAAAGAAAGAAAUUGAGGAAAGCACAGAAUCUACUGUUGAAGAUAUGGAAUGCUCAAAUACACAGACAGAGGAGGCCACACAAACUUGUUCAAAAACCAGAAAGAGGGAGAAAAGAAAGUCUCUUCAACAAAUGGUGCUGGAAAAACUGAAAAGCCACAUGUAAAAGAAUGAAAAUUGACCAUUCUUUUUCACCAUUCACAAAAAUAAACUCGAAAUGGAUC